rnacentral:rRNA from 1 species
CCUACGGGUGGCAGCAGUGAGGAAUAUUGGUCAAUGGGCGCGAGCCUGAACCAGCCAAGUCGCGUGAGGGAAGACGGUCCUAUGGAUUGUAAACCUCUUUUGUCGGGGAGCAAAAGACGCCACGCGUGGCGUUCCGAGAGUACCCGAAGAAAAAGCAUCGGCUAACUCCGUGCCGGCAGCCGCGGUAAUACGGAGGACGCGAGCGUUAUACGGCGUUAUUGGGUUUAAAGGGUGCGAAGGCGGAAGGGAAAGUCAGCGGUAAAAUUGAGGGGCUCAACCCCUUCGAGCCGUUGAAACUGGUUUUCUUGAGUGAGCGAGAAGUAUGCGGAAUGCGUGGUGUAGCGGUGAAAUGCUUAGAUAGGACGAAGAACCCCGAUUGCGAAGGCAGCUUGCUGCAGCGGAACUGACGCUGAUGCUCGAAAGCGCGGGUAUCGAACAGGAUUAGAUACCCUUGUAGUC